rnacentral:rRNA from 1 species
GAGCGGACCUUCGGGGUCAGCGGCGGACGGGUGAGUACACGUGGGCAAUCUAUCUGUCAGACCUGGAAUAACGCCUGUGAAACGGGUGCUAAUGCCAGAUAAUAAGCGAGGAGGCAUCUCCUUGUUUUGAAAGGUGCUUUGGCAGUACUGACAGAGGAGCCCGCGGCGCAUAAGCUAGUUGGUGGGGUAGAGGCCUACCAAGGCGACGAUGCGUAUCCGACCUGAGAGGGUGACCGGCCUCACUGGGACUGAGAUACGGCCCAUACUCCUACGGGAGGCAGCAGUAUGGAAUCUUCCGCAAUGGGCGAAAGCCUGACGGAGCAACGCCGCGUGAGCGAUGAAGGUCUUCGGAUUGUAAAGCUCAGUCACCCGGGAAGAGUGGAUAUACUAGGGAAUGCUUUUAUCGAUACGGUACCGGGAUAUGAAGCCCCGGCUAACUACGUGCCAGCAUCCGCGGUAAU